rnacentral:pre_miRNA from 1 species
UUUUGUUACAAUCACAAUUGUCGGUGUGUUGGCUGAAUGCUAUUUUUCUGUUUUGGGAAUUUUUCAGCCGACACAUCGACAUUUGCGCUAAUAACAAAAAUC